GUAAUGGGGGUGAAGGAGGAAGGAAAGGAGAAGAGGAUUUUAAAGAAGGCAAAUCCGGAUAGAUAGAAGGUUUGAUCACCAGAAUCCCACCCCAUAUGUGCACUUUCCAACCUCCAGGGAAGAUGUGUGGCGACGACACACCCAUUUUCAGAGCGACUCCUCUCAUUGCCACUUUAUGGCACCUGGCUGGGUAGUCAAUGGUGGAGGGAAAGUGCAACAAAGGGAGUUUUGUGGGCUAUGAAUCUCCUAGAGGUUGGACUGCUUCUGCCAUCUCUUUAUAAUGGGCUAAUUAAGGAGAACAGUAGCCUGUGGGAACACCACCCACCUUGUGCUGCUUAA